UACGUAGGGUCCGAGCGUUUGUCCGGAAUUAUUGGGCGUAAAGGGCUCGUAGGCGGUUUGUCGCGUCGGGAGUGAAAACUCAGGGCUCAACCCUGAGCGUGCCUUCCGAUACGGGCAGACUAGAGGUAUGCAGGGGAGAACGGAAUUCCUGGUGUAGCGGUGGAAUGCGCAGAUAUCAGGAGGAACACCGGUGGCGAAGGCGGCAUCCUGGACCGACACUGACGCUGAGGAGCGAAAGCCAGGGGAGCAAACGGG
rnacentral:rRNA from 1 species